rnacentral:rRNA from 1 species
UACGUAGGGUGCGAGCGUUGUCCGGAAUUAUUGGGCGUAAAGGGCUCGUAGGCGGUUUGUCGCGUCGGGAGUGAAAACACACAGCUUAACUGUGUGCUUGCUUCCGAUACGGGCAGACUAGAGGUAUGCAGGGGAGAACGGAAUUCCUGGUGUAGCGGUGAAAUGCGCAGAUAUCAGGAGGAACACCGGUGGCGAAGGCGGGUCUCUGGGCCGAUACUGACGCUGAGGUGCGAAAGCGUGGGGAGCAAACAGG